UGCUCGCUCCGCGCGGCCGACCUCGCCGGGUGGACGCCGCCCUGGAAGGCCAGCGGGCCGCCGUCGUCCGAAGCCGCGGCGAAGGAGGAGACGGCCUGGCCGGCGGUUGCGCGGGGGAAGCGGACGCGGUCGUCGCGCUCUGGCUCCGCGGCCAACAAGAACAAGGGGCGAUGGGCCCGCGGCAGCCCCGCGUCUCCGCUCGACUACAGCGGCGGCUCCGGCUCCGGCGCGUCCACCAGCGGCGGCGAGGACGGCGCCUUCUGCUCGCCGCCGGCGACGGUCGCCCUCGCCCGCGGGCACGCCGUGGUCACACCCACCGCCGCCCCAGCUUCUUCCUGCCUGGCCAAGGUUGGCUCUGCGGGAGGAGCACGGCGCCCAUUGAUCCUGCCGGUGCCGCCGCUGCCCCGCAUCGCCGGCCAGAGGUCAGGGAAGAAGAUGAGGCUCCCGGAGGUCAAGCAGAUGGUGCUGUCCCUGUCGGCAGAGAAUGUCGGCCUUCGCCAGGAGAUGGAGUCGCUGCAGAGGGCCUGCAUGGCGCUGUCAAAGGAGAACGGCAGGCUAGAGACAAGGCUUGAGCAUUCGUCCUCGGGCAAGCGGAAGAGGAUCGGCUCCCAACAGGAGGAGCGGCGACAAAUGAAGCCGCAGCAAGCCGGUGGCGGCUUCGCGCUCCCGGACCUCAACUUUCCGGCGCAGGAUGUCGUCGCCGACGCACCGGCGGCGGCUCCGUGA
rnacentral:rRNA from 1 species